rnacentral:rRNA from 1 species
CACGAACCGUACGAACGUUUAUUCGGAAUUACUGGGCUUAAAGGGUUUGUAGGCGGCCAUGUAAGUCAGGUGUGAAAUCCCUCGGCUCAACCGAGGAACGGCGCUUGAUACUGCAUGGCUUGAGGGAGACAGGGGUAAGCGGAACUGAUGGUGGAGCGGUGAAAUGCGUUGAUAUCAUCAGGAACACCGGUGGCGAAAGCGGCUUACUGGGUCUCUUCUGACGCUGAGGAACGAAAGCUAGGGUAGCGAACGGGG